ACGGUGUGGACGGCGGCAGCAACGUGGUGUAGUAGAGGGGACCCGGAUUUCGAGUCCAGUCCCCCAGGGCAGCAUGUCAAGUCUGCCACCUAGGUUGGACCCUGGGUCAAGUCCCCCGGCUUCCCCCUCCCCAGGUUGGAGGGCAGGCCUGAGGACCCCACCCUGGCUGGAGCACUGGUCCAGCGGCCGUGCUGUCGCCCUCCGGGGGCGGGUAGCAGUUGUGGUAUGUGCAGCGCCUGGGAACAUUUCAUGAAAGACCCCCAAGGAGGGCCAGAUUGUGGGGGGCAGGGAGUCUUUAAAUGCCCCCAGGUGGUGUGGGCUGUCGUGAACAAAGCCGAGGUUAAACAGAUUUCUACUUUGAAAGCUGUCACUCCCCUGGUUCCCGCUGGCGGCUCCUUCCUUCCUGGCCCCCGUCCUGCACAGCCGGGUGGUGGCGGUGCGGGAGGGUGAUGGAAGCCCCGGAGGACUGGGUCCAGCAAGGCCCUUAUUGUCCUCCCCGUCGCCCAAACAAAAGCUUCUCUCUGUUUGAGAGUCAGGGAAAGUGUAAUUUCACAGCCGACCCCUGUGAUGAAGCAUCUUCUCUCGGAGUGAGAAGAUGGGCAUAUAAAUAUCCCCCGUCUCUGCCGCUCUUUAUUUCCCUUGUAAGCAGUCGCCCCAUUUCUCCAUCUGAUGGAUGCCCCAUCGCAGCCGGGGUGGGAGCUCCCCAGCUCCUCAGUUCGGGCAGCAGCUUCGAAAAUAAUUCCCGUGUCUCAGGCACCUCUCCCGUUUAUCCCCUGUCCCUGCCCAGGACCCCACCCUCCCCCGAGGCCCACCCACCCUCACAGACCGCUCUCCCCUUGUCUCAUGAAUGGUGGCCAGGAGACAGGGCCUCCUGUGGAUUCCCUGCUGCAUGCACAGCCCUGCAAGCCUCUCAGGACCAGGCGCCAACGGCAAUCCAGCCCUUUCCCCACUGCCGCCGCCUCCCGUGGAAAACCACAGAGCUCACCCUCCCUUCCGGGGGCACCACAACUCAAAAACGUGGCCACGGGGGUGUCGUCAGCCCACCGCACCUCCUGGUAGAGCAGAGAGCCUCCAUUUUCACUCGACUUUAAGGCUGCAAGACAGGGAGAGUCUAAUUAGUAAAGGGACGAUCUAAUAUUAAUCACUCCCUGAAAAUUGACAAGGGAGGCAGUCCAUUUAACCACUUAAUUGCUACAGGUUUUUAUGGGCUGCUGUUUGCAGAUGUAUUUAAUGAAGAAGUUAUAAAUCUAAAGGAGCUUAAAAUUUUAAUUUUAUACCUAAAUAUUUUCCUUGUUCUCAUGUUUGUAGUCAAUCCUCAAGAGUGUAGUCACGUGGAAUGUUCUUUAAAUGAACAUAUUUGCUAACUGGCGUGAUUUCAGUUUUUAAAACAUUGGUUCCAGCAAUUAGGCAUUUUUUUCAGUUCCCAAAUGACUAGAGAAAUUCGUCUUGAUUAUAAUUGCUCUUAGCCACGCAUAUCUAAUUUGUGUCUUUUUAAGUGUUAAUUAGUAAACAGUUUGAGCUGACAUCUUUAUGUGUUUGUGUGUUGAAAAAUGGGGCUUAUUGCUUAUUUAGCUUGGGGCUGAUUCCACUAGCGUUUACGUCACGGCAUUGAGGUGAAAUUAAUGGAAACACAUUUGGCAUCGCGAGGUAUAAAGAAUUUUUGAAUCCAACUUGUGGUCAUGCACUUUGCAGGGGAUUCUGCAGGCCCUUCCAGAAUGUGAGAUUAGAUUUGGGACCUGCAUAAGCGGGAAGAAAGUGAGGCAGAAGAGUUUUGAGUCAGUAAUGAAAUGGCAGCGUCCCAAUUUUAUAAAAGCAAAAUGUUCAUAUCCCAGCACAAUUGUUCAUUCUUUCGACUUUUGGGAAAGCUUUCAUUGUGCUUUAAUGUUAAAAGCAUUUUGUGGAGGGAGAUGUUGCAAAAUCUGUGAUCCCCUUGCACCAUCUAGUGGUCAGGCCAUAAACUGCAGCAGGAAAUAAGGCAGCGUCUCUGUGAGAUUGAACAUUUCAUCACCCAGCAUCCUCGUUUUUUUGUUUUUUUUUUUUUUUUUUUUCUCUUUUCAGUCAGGAAGCUGAUAUGUUUUAGGAAAGAAAUUUGCCUGCUUCAUUUAUAAAUUUAUAAACAACAGUUAAUUGAUUAGAAGUUCACGUGGUCUGCUCCCCUUUUUUAUAUUGCUCAAAGACAGAGCUACUCCCAAAUUCUCCUGGAGCUUUCACACUAAGGUGAGAAAAUCCCAGCCAGAAACAAAGAAACCCAAUGAACUAGUUUAAUGGAAGGCUUCUUCUGAAAGGUGGGAAGCAGCUUGGGGACCUCCGCUCCAGGGACUUUUCAGGAACCUGACUGCAGCUUGGGAACUACUGUUUGAUGCCACAGAUAAGAUUAGUUCUCUUCCCAUAAAUUGUGGCAGAUGUCGUGGGCAGUUGAUCAUCCUAAGCAGCUACCCUGCCAAUCAGAAUCGAUUUAGUGUUUUGCACAUGUGUGUUAAGAUGCAGAUAUUACAGAAAUGUGGAAGAGACGAGAGGCUCCCGUGAUCCCCCUGCUCCCCCGACCCCGGGAGACACCCACACACAUACAAACAAGCAUCACCGAGCUUCAACACCGGACAGAAUACUCUGUGUCCCGCUUUCGCCCAGACCAGUAUAUCUUGCACAGCCUCCCUCGUCAUUUCACGCAGAUCUACCUCGUUCUUUUUAAUGACUACAUGUGCUUCCCUUUUAUGAUGAGGGCAUAAUUUAUUCCAAAAUCCACUGUGGAUUGACUUUUGAGUUGUUUCCAAUUACUCACAAUCACACCACUGCAGUAUAUUUCCUCGUCUUUGCUCCCCUGGGUCUGUCUCCAGAGGAAUGCAUGAUGGUCCCAUUCUGUCUCAAAAGAGCAAAAGCCCAUUCAAACCGCCCGCACCCCCCGCCUGUGGUGUGGCAGGGGUACCUGUCUCCACCACCUCACAAUCGCUAAGCAUCUCUGGCAUUUAAAGGUGGACAUCUUUUCACAUGUUCCUUGGCCAUUUGUAUUUCUUGCGCGAAUCUCUUCUGUUUGUGGCCUUGGCCCAUUUUUUUCUAUGAGCUUAACUUUUUUCAUUCAUUUUUGAGUUCUUUAUAACAGCCUUCUUUCUGUCAUGUGUGUGUACACACACACACACACUUUAACCAAUGGCUUUUCACCUUCUUAGUGAUAUGUUCUGCCAUACGGUCGUUGGUAAUUUUUCAUGGGCAAUUUUGGCUUUGUUUCCAUGUUUUAUUUGGGGCUUCAUGUCAUACUUAGAAGAUGACAGAAAUGCUCACCCCUAUUUUCUCAUCCCCUUUUGUAUUUUAAUAUAUUAAAAUAUUAAAUACUUUUCAACUGCCUAAUCCGUCUGAAAUUUACUCAGAGCUUAAGAACUAGAACCAGCUUUAGUUUGUCCUGUUUGCCAGUUUUCUUAACACUGUUGACUUCUCCAGUGAGUUUUAAGUGCUGUCUUUAUCAUACUGUUCUAUCUGUAAGUGGAUCGGUGGACGUUUUUCUUGUUCAGUGCUUUUUUUUCACAUGGUGGCCACACUGCUUUGAAUCCGAUUGCUUUAUGAUAAACUUUUUUUUUUUUUUUUGGUCUUUUUAGGGCCACACCCGUGGCAUAUGGAGGUUCCCAGGCUAGGGGUGGAAUCGGAGCUGUAGCCUCCGGCCUCCACCACAGCCACAGCCACAGCCACAGCCACAGCAACACCAGAUCCAAGCCGCUUCUGCAACCUACACCACAGCUCACGGCAAUGCCGGAUCCUUAACCCGCUGUGCGAGGGCAGGGAUCAAACCCGCAACCUCAUGGUUCCUGGUCGGAUUGCUUUCCGCUGCACCACGGCGAGAACUCCAACUUUAUGCUGAGCUUUGGUCUUUGAUAAAGUUAGCGCGCCCUUCUCCCCACCCCCACAUUUUCCUAAUUAUAAUCACAUGAUUAUUCUUCCAGCUGAACUUUUGCAUCUUUUCGGGGGCAGGGGAGAAACACCAUUCUAGAUGUUCCUUGUAACUGCCCUGGGCUUAGAGGCUAGUGGAGGAUGGGUGAGCCUUUUCAGAGAAAAGUCUGCCCCCGGGCUCAGCCGAGCAGGGCGCUGGGCAGCAGCAGAGGCCCAGCCGAGGGGAAGGCCGUUCUCUGGAGAGCCUGCCCACUGCUUUUGAGGUUCUUCUCGGCAUUGGGUGUCUCUGCGGCUCUUGCGAAUAGAUCUUCUCUUCCAUUUUGUCUUCUGUCACUUUUAUUUCAAGAAGCCGUGGACCUUGGCAUUUACCUUUGGGGGCUGGCUCUCUCACGGACUCCUUGCAUUGUUUCUGAUGGUUCUUCAGCUGUUCUUCUUCGGUUUCCCAGGCCGGUGGCUCUGUUGUCUGCAAACGCUGAAGCUACCUUCUCCUGCACCCCAUCCUGUGCCCUCACCUGGCAUCGCGGCACGGUCAGGUCACCGCUCCUUGUCUGAGCGGAAGUUUCUAAUUUCAGUACUAACCCGUAAUGCUGCAUUUUGGCCUGCUAUAUAUAGACAUACCUUUUUUUUUUUUAUCAUGUUAAAAAAUUAGCCAUCAAUUCCUAUUUUCCUAAAUGUUUUUAUCAGGAUUAGAUGGUGGCUUUUGAUAAAUGUCUUUUAAUCAUCCAUUGAGAUAAUCAUUUUUUCUUCUCCGCGGGCAUAUUAAUAUGGUCGAUUAUAUUAAUAGAGUGCCUAAUUCUGCGUCUCAGGGUCCCCCUCCCCCCACCACCCUCUUUCCCGCUUUGGUUCUGUUGGCCACGGCGUUGUCAGCCAAGUAGCCGCCGCCCAGACUGCUCCGCAGUGGCCCAGGGCAUUCGUCACGUCAAUGGGAGGGCCAGGCUGAGCCCCUGGAAGGAAGGUGGAGCAGAGGGGUGACCGGCAGACACAUUACCUGCCCGGGUACCAUCGUAAGGUGUAUCUGCACCUGGCUCGUGCAAAAUCAGGGUCAAGAUGAAUGUGCGGUCCUUUGAGAAUCCAUCAGAAAAGGAUUUUUCUGUCCUUUUAUUAUGGUUUGGGGAACUCUCACCCCCUCUCCCGAGUUUUCAAGUAAUACCCCCAGAAUUAGAAGUUUACCUGCCGUGUAGGUGAAAAGUGAGCAUGAAGCCUGGGGCGGGCACCUUCCCAGCGUGACCCCGUAGCUUCUCCUUUUCCCUCAGAUCGGUGCCAGAAAGCAGUGUUGUCUCAGACAUUUUCCACAAUUAACCCAGGAGGCAGAAAAUACAAAUGCCCAGAGGGACAGUCCCCGGGGCUGUUUGCAGACACAGAAACAGCCUUCCUUCAGAGGCAAGGGCAUCCAUCUGUGCCCGGCCCCACCCAGAGCCCCCACACAGGAGUCACCAGCUGGACCCCCAAGGUGUGCACUGGGCCUGCCGGCCCCGCCGUUAGGGAGCAGCCAGGAAAAGCAGAACUCAUUUUGUGUUUUUCUUAAGCACGCAGCAAUCUUCAGUUUCCCUGCAAAGUGUGUUUCCCACCUUUUUCCUUAAAAUGUGUGACCUUCUCGGUCUGUCUUUCAUUUUCCUGGGUUACAGGAAAUGUCCCGCUUUCUUGCUUACUUCAUCCCCAUUAGCCCCACACAUGUAGCCAAGAUAGAGCCCAGUGAUAAAAUGGCAGUUGACACUCGGGGCAGUUCAUAGGGAGGGGUGGGGACUGCGGCAAACUGGAAAGCACGUGUCUCUCUAAAGCAAGCAUCCUCCGUUCACCUGUGUGAGGCUAAUGGUUGCUGUGCAAGAAUGAAGGUCCAGAAUCGCCAUAAACCCCCCCCCCUUUUUUUUUUUACAAAAUCUGGAAAAUACUGGUGUUUUAUGCAGAGCCUCAACUUCUCCGUGUUUAUAACUAUUUAUAAACACCACACGUGUGUAUUUCCAUGCACACGUGUCUGUGCAUGGAAAUACACACACAGGAGUUCCCAUCAUGGCCCAGCGGUUAGCAAACCCAGCUAGCAUCCAUGAGGAUGUGGGUUUGAUCCCUGGCCUCGCUCAGUGGGUUAAGGAUCUGAGCGUUGCCAUGUGGUUAGGUCACAGACACAGCUCAGAUUCCGUGUGGCUGUGGCUGUGAUGUAGGCCGGCAACUACAGUCCCGAAUGGACUCCCAGCCUGGGAACCUCCAUAUGCUGCGGG
ensembl:lncRNA